rnacentral:rRNA from 1 species
GACGAACGCUGGCGGCGUGCUUAACACAUGCAAGUCGAACGGAAAGGCCCUGCUUUUGUGGGGUGCUCGAGUGGCGAACGGGUGAGUAACACGUGAGUAACCUGCCCUUGACUUUGGGAUAACUUCAGGAAACUGGGGCUAAUACCGGAUAGGAGCUCCUGCUGCAUGGUGGGGGUUGGAAAGUUUCGGCGGUUGGGGAUGGACUCGCGGCUUAUCAGCUUGUUGGUGGGGUAGUGGCUUACCAAGGCUUUGACGGGUAGCCGGCCUGAGAGGGUGACCGGCCACAUUGGGACUGAGAUACGGCCCAGACUCCUACGGGAGGCAGCAGUGGGGAAUAUUGCACAAUGGGCGGAAGCCUGAUGCAGCAACGCCGCGUGCGGGAUGACGGCCUUCGGGUUGUAAACCGCUUUCGCCUGUGACGAAGCGUGAGUGACGGUAAUGGGUAAAGAAGCACCGGCUAACUACGUGCCAGCAGCCGCGGUGAUACGUAGGGUGCGAGCGUUGUCCGGAUUUAUUGGGCGUAAAGGGCUCGUAGGUGGUUGAUCGCGUCGGAAGUGUAAUCUUGGGGCUUAACCCUGAGCGUGCUUUCGAUACGGGUUGACUUGAGGAAGGUAGGGGAGAAUGGAAUUCCUGGUGGAGCGGUGGAAUGCGCAGAUAUCAGGAGGAACACCAGUGGCGAAGGCGGUUCUCUGGGCCUUUCCUGACGCUGAGGAGCGAAAGCGUGGGGAGCGAACAGGCUUAGAUACCCUGGUAGUCCACGCUGUAAACGGUGGGUACUAGGUGUGGGGUCCAUUCCACGGGUUCCGUGCCGUAGCUAACGCUUUAAGUACCCCGCCUGGGGAGUACGGCCGCAGGGCUAAAACUCAAAGGAAUUGACGGGGCCCCGCACAAGCGGCGGAGCAUGCGGAUUAAUUCGAUGCAACGCGUAGAACCUUACCUGGGUUUGACAUGGAUCGGGAGUGCUCAGAGAUGGGUGUGCCUCUUUUGGGGUCGGUUCACAGGUGGUGCAUGGCUGUCGUCAGCUCGUGUCGUGAGAUGUUGGGUUAAGUCCCGCAACGAGCGCAACCCUUGUUCACUGUUGCCAGCACGUUAUGGUGGGGACUCAGUGGAGACCGCCGGGGUCAACUCGGAGGAAGGUGGGGAUGACGUCAAGUCAUCAUGCCCCUUAUGUCCAGGGCUUCACGCAUGCUACAAUGGCUGGUACAGAGAGUGGCGAGCCUGUGAGGGUGAGCGAAUCUCGGAAAGCCGGUCUCAGUUCGGAUUGGGGUCUGCAACUCGACCUCAUGAAGUCGGAGUCGCUAGUAAUCGCAGAUCAGCAACGCUGCGGUGAAUACGUUCCCGGGGCU